CGGCUGGCCGUGUGCACGUGCGUUCGAGCACGGGCGUGAGAGCUUUCUCUAGAGAGGUGGCACUGCAGUCCUGCCAGCACAGCCGCGUGGCUCUCUUUCCGGAGGUGUCUCCUUCCCGAGCCCACUCGCGCACCACCUUCCUCUGCUCGUGCUCGUUCGCGGGCUAGCUGGCUCGCGGGCACCCGCACCCUGCAGCGUAGCGCUGGCGCCUUGCACGUGAGGUUUACCAUCUGCGGAUGCUUCGGAGAGGACCGGAGGCUGAACCAUGUCAUGUUUUGAAGUUGUUGCCCUUAGAUUGGGAAAGCAGGUACCUGUGGGGCUUUCAAUAUGCUUGGCCCAGGGAACGGCAUUAUAAGAUGUUGCCCUGUUGGAGGAAAUGUGCCACUGUGGGCAUGGGCUUUGAGACCCUUCUAUCUGCCUGGAAUACAGUCUGCCUCUUGCUUCAUUUGGAUGAAGAUUUCAAACUCUCAGCUCCUACAGUGUCAUGUCUGCCUGGAUGCAGCCAUCCUUCCUGUCAUGAUGAUAAUGGACUGAAUCACAGAACCUGUAAGCCUGCAUCAAGUCUGUACUAUUAGGCACAUCCUACUAUUAGGUUAGAUGUAGCAGCCCUCUGCUACAUAUGUGUCAGGGGCCUUGAACCAGCCCCUGUAUGCUCUUUGGUUGGUGGAUCAGUCUCUGGAAGCUCCCAGAAGUCCAGGUUAUUUGCUCCAUGGAUGAGUUUUCCAAAACUGACAGGGAAUGACUGAAUCCAAUCUAAUAUGGACAGGAGGGCCCCUAGGAUUUUUCCCAAUAGAAAAUAUUACCUUGCCUGUCUUUUGUUCAUCUGCAUUCAUUAGUCCAAUGUAGGCCUUUGCCAUACCUUCUGCAUACUCCAGAAAACUGAGGCCUUCUUUUUGGAUUAUCUUUAGAAAAGAAAAACAAUAUUUCUAGAAAUGCCUUGCCUACAAUCUCUUUUCUUAUGAACUUGCUUACCACAAUUAAAACACCUGACUUUUUUGUUUUUCUUCAAACUUAGAAAUUAUUUCUCCUAUCAAAGUAGCAUCAUAAACAUGAGAUCCAAUAUUGCCAUAUUUCCAAUCCAUUCAUCUAUUGGUUCUGAUGUUGCCUUGAAAGGCCUAAUCGCCCCUUUGCAUUCUGAAUUAGCAUUUUCAAAAGCCAAUGAUUUCAUUAAUAUUUGUCUGACUUCUGAAUCUGAUACUAAUUUUAUUUACAGCUGAAGUCAACAUUUGCAAAAAAAAUUAGUGACGGCUGAUUUUGGGCCUUGCAUACUUUCAGUAAAUGAUACAGUCCUCUUUCCUGAUUCUUCAACAUAAACAGGAACCCUAAAAUAAUGUCCUUUCUCAUAUCAUUUUGGAAGUCACCAAGGAGCAUUUCAUUCUGAUAUAAUUUUCUUUUUUUCUAUAUCCCUGACUUAAUGUUCUAGUUUCCAAAUUUUAAGCAACUUUUUACGUUAAGUUUGAGAAUUAUAAAUUUUUCCAAUAGCUCUUUCUGGUUAUUUCAUAAAUGUGGUAAGCUGUCCAAUGUUUCUGAGAAUAUCUGAGAUUCUUUGGCAGUUUUAUGUUUGGCUUUCAUGUUGGAGUUUCCUCAAAUGUCUAGUGAUUCUUAGUUGUCAGUGUAUAUUGAGUUCAAGUGACUAUAAGUUAUGUCAUAAUGAGCAGGGUUUGUAGUCUUUGGGUCUCACUGUAGCAAAUAGUUAAAUGUAAAAUUAUUGUUCAUCUUUCCUGGAUGGUUGGACAUGUCUGGACAUACACGCCCGUAACAGCCAGGUAGAGAAUGCAUGCAGGUUCACAAUGUUCUUAAUACUGGCAUUCCCAGUUGUCUGUCCUCAGCAUAGCUUUGGUCCUGUCUCUCAGUUCUCACUUUUAUUUGGUUCAGUUUCUCCAGAAAAAUAAGCCUUCUGUAAUUUCAAUUUUGUUCCUCAUGUCUACUUUCAGUUGUCCCUUUAGCCUUUGAAUGGUGUAGAGGGCAGCGCUUGUCUUCUACAUUUGUAGACUUUUUCUUUCUCUAAACAUUUAUCUUUGCUAUUUUUAAAUUGCAUGUGUUUGUGUCUGUGUAUGUUCACAAGAAGACACUGGAUCCCUGGGAGACAGAGUUUACAGGAGAAGGUUAGCCACCAGACAUGGGUGAGAAACCAGACAAAGGCUGUCUGUAAGAGUGCUCUUAGCCAUAGGGCUAUCUCCCUAGCUCCUUGUAGACUUUUUUCUGCUAUGGAAACUAAAUGAGCUUAGUUGCUGGAACAUUGCUACCUACACUUUUUUUCCCUAAAAGAGCUGUAAGCUGACCUUUUCCUCUACGGAGAAAAUAAGUACUUUAAAAGCCCACCAAUAAGGAUCAACAAAACACAACCACUUCUAAGUACAAUUGAAGACAGCACUGUGAAAAUUAGAAAUGACUUAAUUGUUAAUGUGAUCUUUUUUCACUCAAUAUCAUGUCUCUUAAAUAAAGUCUCUGUUCUGC
ensembl:antisense